CUAAAUUUUAUUUUUCUUUCGCCUAUGCUCACUCUCUCUCGCCGUCUCUCCCAAAUGGAGAGUUAAAGAUUUGUUUUUCCUUUUUGUCGACAAAGUCGAAGAGAUGAUAAGAGGAAGAGAAGAAGGCAAAGAAUUUUGUUCAAGCAUCGUGUAUAUGCUAAGAAUGGAAACCAAGUGAUUGGGAAGCUUACAAGAUUUUCAUGUUUUUGGGUUUUGUAGGAUUGACGUUUAUAUAUACGUAUGAUCGAUCAUUUGGUGAAGAAAAACUUCAUAAUACUGCAAAGUCGUUUAUGAUUGAAGGAAAGGUUUCCCCUGAUCGAGUUGGUAAUUAAAUGACUUUCGUGAUCAGAGUACGAUGAAAUGAGGCACAAGUUCAAUUGAAUACAUUGCUAGAGGUGCUACCCAUAACUCUCAAUCAAACUGGUCCAGUGGAUGCUUCACUCUUUAGGCAACCAGUUACAUGGUAUCCAUUGGAAAGGACAAAUAGGGAGAGGCAAUGAAGGAUGCUACCGCAGCUGGUGUCAAUGUCCACUAUUUUGGAGAUGAGUCAAAACCUACCAGAACUUGCCGUGCCUGUGUUCUUGGUGGAG